rnacentral:rRNA from 1 species
UGCAAGUCGAACGGCAGCGCGGGUGCUUGCACCUGGCGGCGAGUGGCGAACGGGUGAGUAACGUAUCGGAACGUACCUGAUAGUGGGGGAUAACUCGUUGAAAGAUGAGCUAAUACCGCAUAAGUCCUAAGGGAGAAAGUGGGGGACCUUCGGGCCUCACGCUAACAGAGCGGCCGAUAUCUGAUUAGCUAGUUGGUGAGGUAAAGGCUCACCAAGGCGAUGAUCAGUAGCUGGUCUGAGAGGACGACCAGCCACACUGGAACUGAGAGACGGUCCAGACUCCUACGGGAGGCAGCAGUGGGGAAUUUUGGACAAUGGGGGCAACCCUGAUCCAGCAAUGCCGCGUGAGUGAAGAAGGCCCUCGGGUUGUAAAGCUCUUUUGUUGGGGAAGAAAUCGGAACCUCUAAUAUAGGUUGUGGAUGACGGUACCCAAAGAAUAAGCACCGGCUAACUACGUGCCAGCAGCCGCGGUAAUACGUAGGGUGCGAGCGUUAAUCGGAAUUACUGGGCGUAAAGGGUGCGCAGGCGGUUUGUUAAGUCAGCUGUGAAAUCCCCGGGCUUAACCUGGGAAUGGCAGUUGAGACUGGCAGGCUAGAGUGUGUCAGAGGGGGGUAGAAUUCCACGUGUAGCAGUGAAAUGCGUAGAGAUGUGGAGGAAUACCGAUGGCGAAGGCAGCCCCCUGGGAUAACACUGACGCUCA